AACUGCGGAUUCUUUUGUGUAUAUGCCUACAAGGUGUUUGGUGAAAAUCCAAGCAACCCCUUGAUUUCGUUUCUUGCAGAUAUUUCUAUGGGUUUCUCCAUUAGUAUGUUUUUCCUCAACUACCAUAUCAAUCUGGCAGCCGUUGGCACAUGUGACCUUGGUUGAGGAAUUUGUUCCACAUCUCCUUGUACCAAGAGCGGAUCUGCGCCCCACCUCUCCAGUGUUGGCUCAUUGGCCACCGCGGAUCCUAGCUGUCCUUGGGACGCCAUCAACAGGUGUUGUAUAAUGCUGUUACUUGCUGGUGAUGUUGUUUCUGUGCUGCCUAUGGAGUGACAAUAACGACAUUCAAUUAUGAUGCGUUUGACCGUAACACAAAGAUUAAGGAAAUUAAUUACCAUUUGUCGAUUGACGACUUGAAAAGAAGCAUGGAGGCAACAAAUGGGGUAUUAUUUUGAUCUCAUCUCACACAUUCAAUUACUCUUUGUCCUACUAUAUGGCUUUUUAUUAGUUAUUUACACAUACUCGAUGCAUUGCAAAAUGUCUGUUUCUGGAAAUCGCCAUAUCCCGUAUCCCCGCAACCGUAUUGUCGUAUCUGUCGCUCUAUCAGUGCUUCAUUGGUCUAGCCAGAUGCAAGCGGCAAAAGGCGACUGGGAUUAACCAUCGAUGCUGGUUUUCAUAUCCAAAUACCGGUCUUUGUUGGUAUGUACAUGAGAUGGGGGAAAUCAUGCCUUAAGAGAGGGAGAUGCGGAAGGCAGGCUGACUACAUAGUAAUUGUUAGUACUCUUUGAUGAUAGAGAAGUAAAGAACUUGUUGUUACUGCAAACUCAGGCUAUGCUAUUGAAAAUGACAUCAGGGGACAGAACACGACAACUGUUCGUCACCUAAAAGGACAGGAUGACACCAAACACCAAAGGAGUUAUGAUAGCAGCACUUAUAGGCAUUGAGGAAUUGGCAAAGAGAUUACGCUUCAUAGGUAUGAAGUUAGAACAACGGCUGGAAACUAUGAAAGGUCGUUUCUAAUUCCCUUUGUUGGAUCUGUCUUACCUACAAUGCAUGUGUGACCCCUGGAGAAGCCACUUUUUGUUUCGUCUGCAGUAUACUCCAUGUUUAGUUCCAAUGAUGCCCUAACCCUUUUGUUCCUGCUCUGAAGAAUAAGACAUGUAUAGGCUUCAGAUUUUUGUAAUCAUCUAUGUGCUAAACAUCCCUUUGUGGUCA